CGCAGCCGCGGUAAUUCCAGCUCCAAUAGCGUAUAUUAAAGUUGUUGCAGUUAAACAGCUCGUAGUUGAAUUUCGGGAUCAAUAUGUUGGUCGUGCCUUGGUACGUACUGGCAUUAUUGGUUUCUACCUUCUGACGAACCAUGAUGUCAUUUAUUUGGUGUCGUGGGGAAUCAGGACUGUUACUUUGAAAAAAUUAGAGUGUUUAAAGCAGGCUCGCGCUUGAAUACAUUAGCAUGGAAUAAUGAAAUAGGACGUUUGAUUCUAUUUUGUUGGUUUCUAGGAUCGACGUAAUGAUUAAUAGGGAUAGUUGGGGGCAUUAGUAUUCAAUUGUCAGAGGUGAAAUUCUUGGAUUUAUUGAAGACUAACUACUGCGAAAGCAUUUGCCAAGGAUGUUUUCAUUAAUCAAGAACGAAAGUUAGGGGAUCGAAGACGAUCAGAUACCGUCGUAGUCUUAACC
rnacentral:rRNA from 1 species